rnacentral:lncRNA from 1 species
CACGCUCUUAAUUUCGAACGUUAGAGAUAAAAAAAUUUCCCGAAGAACUCUAGAAUACGCCUAUAAAAACCAAGCCAUUGCAGCCAACAGAGGAGGAGCUGGGCGGCCCCCUUCCAUCUCGCUUAGUCUUCAGUGACUAACUAUUCAAAGCUUAUCUUCUUCCUUGCUCUCUAAAAAUUCAGCUUUAAGUUUUCUCUGUCUUUUGAUCUCUAUUUAGUCCAUAGCCUUGCUAAAGCUUUUAUUUAUUUAUUUGCUGUGUCCGCGUUUGACGAUCUUCCGAAAGAGCUGAGCCAAAGUUGAAGAUCUUCUUGACGCCGCCCUCAAUUUACUGCCCUGCAAAAGGUCCGUAUUUUCUUAUUUUUCGUUUUUCUGGAAUUUAUAGUAUGUUCAUGUUUCAGUAUCUAUUUGGCAAUGAGCUCUUAAUUUUCUGAUAUUUUAUCUUUUGUCUGCAGUGCUUUUGUUGAUUUAUGACAUUAUUCUAUUUAAAGUUGUCAUGUUAUGCACAGUAGUUUUAUUGGAAAUCAUCCAAAUAUGUUCAUUUCUUUAUUUAGAUGAAUGCUGAAAUCAUGCCUUACAAAACUGUUUUUCUAACCAUAUACUGCUCGAAACAUGAAGGAUAACUAAUGUCAUUGUGUUUAUGUGAACUAUUCUAUUGUUCACAAAUCCAAGUAGUAGAAACCAUGUUCAGUACUUAAUUUUCUCUAUAAAAGUUAUGAUAAUUUAUAGUAUAAAGUUAGGGCCCCAUGAUUGAUACUUUGAUAAUUGCAAACUUAGUCUAAAAGCAUUCAGCUAUAACUCCUCCUUUGUUGCAAAUUUGUAGAAAUAAACUGAAAUGGAGGCUCUCAUCCAUUGAAUGAUUUAACAUAGAGUAAUUCUUGUCAGAUAAUGAGUUGUCCGCUAAUUUCUAUCCUUUAUUUUUUUUGCAUGUACACUUUAGACCAAAUAGAGUCUUAUUGCAAGACUCGCUGCCGCCGCCACCACCCGAAGUCCAUUAGCAUUGCGUUGUCUUCAAGUCGCUGCAUUUAAGUUGCAGCCAUAUGAUAAAAUUCAUCUGAACAACUGCUAUAUUUUCUUUAGCAUUCGUUUCAUUGAAUGUAAGAUUAUUUUCUUUAUAUUUUUUAUUCUUAUUGAGAGCUUAUAAAAUUUUGGAGUCGCCGUUAAGUUUUGUACUAAUUUAGGAUCACUAAUCAUUAAUUUAGUACUAUGUUCAUCACGUAAAACAUAGCAACUAGAUACUCCAUUUGGAAUUAAUUUUAAAAUGAUAUUUUCGGUAAGUCUAUACCCAGUUUGUAAAAGAGAAUUGUCCGUUGUACUUCAUAACCGAAGUUAUUUCUUUGAAUCUAAGUGUGAACUAAGAAAUUUUGUCAAAUUGUGUAAUUUUUUUUAUAUUAGUUAAGUCCAUAAAGUCUUUUCAAAAGACAACAUUUUCAAGCACUAUGAUUGUAGGACCGCUAAUCAUUUAACAAAUUUUCAUCAACGUCGUAACUGAGCCUAUUUGGAGGGAAGAAGAACAAAAAGCCUAUUUGUAGUAUCAUUAAUUAAUCUAAGUUCGACCGGCCAACCGUAAUUAGCGAAUCAUAUAGGGUGCUUUGAUAACCUUCCCUAUAGGAUUAAUUAGAAUUCUUACCUAGAAUUUUAAGGUUAAGCAGAUCAUAAAAUAGAGUUAAUUGUAAGCACUACUUAGCUAAAAUUGGUGUCCUAAUUCAUAAUUAAAAUAAUUAGGUGGAGACUCAAUUAAUUAAACUUGUAAAUGUUAUACUCUAGUUUGACCCGGGUUAAAAUGGGGUAUAACACAUAUGGUACUUAGAGCCGGACUUAGGACCUUUUCUUUGUGAGAGAUGAGAGAGUCCAUUUACCUCGAUUUGUGUGCAAAUACUCUAAAAGGUGAGGUUCACUUAGGGAAAGUCGAGGAUUUGUGAGUUUGGAUUGCACAAUGACAAAAAUAUUUGAGAAAGGUUCCUUGAUGAGAUGUGUCAACUCGUGAUGAUCUUAUGUCACACUAGAUCCACAAGUUUUUAAAGUUUUAAGUGUGUUAAUGAUGCAUUCGCGUUGAGGGCAAUUGUUAGCCCCAAUUGAUGCUUGUUGAGGUUACAUUAGGAUCAACAGGAAUUACUUGGGUGUUUUCCAUUGAGGGAUAUGUCUCAUUUUAUUUGCUUGGGGUCAAGCAAAGGUUUAAGUUUGGGGGAGUUGAUAACUGUAAUUUCUACAUGUUUUACACCCAUCCUUACCUAAGCUUUAUACAUUAAUUGCCAUAUAUUAGUCCCAAAAUGCUUACAUAUUGCACUUGAUUGCAGGUUUGAACGACAAGAUGACAAGUAUCAAAGAUCGGCUCAAAAAGGAGUGAAAUCUGCCAAGUGUCAAAAGACAAC